rnacentral:rRNA from 1 species
GUACAUAAUUUUAAUUUAUAUUCAUUUUUUAACUUAAUAAAAGUAAUUACAUUUAAGUCCUUCUUUAUAUACUUAAUAUAAAGUAUCUUUUGCUACAUUAAUGUAACUCGCCUAAACUUUAUGAUAGUCUGCUCCUUGAUCUGUAUUAAUGGGUAAUAUAAUUCUUCCGAGUUGACAAUAUAUUAUAUAUUAUCUAGUAACGACGGCAUACAAAAUGUUACAUAAAGUAAAUUAACCUUGGUGGUUAUCAAUUAUUUGGUAAGUUCCCCUAAACCUUAAAAUUACCGUCAUGCUAUUUGAGUUUUAAUCAAAAAAGAUUUUAGUACUCAGUAUUAUAUUUUAAAUAUUGUAUAAAAGGGUAUCUAAUCCUUGUUUAUGAUCAAUAUUACGAAUAUAUUAGAUUAUAUUAGAUUAUAAGGUCAUAUUUCACCAAAAUAAGAAUAUAAACUGUAUAAUACUAUUAUAGUUUAUUACUAUAAAAGUCUGACCGCGACUGCUGGCACUUUUUUAGUCAUAGUAUUUUAAAUAAAUUGGUUUAAUCUUACUUUCAUAAAUUAUUAAAUUUUCUUUCCUGGUAAAGAUCUUAAUAGUUCCAUAAGUAUUCCUAUUUAAUACAAACAGUUCCCAUA